rnacentral:rRNA from 1 species
GUGCCAGCCGCGCGGUAAUACCGGCAGCUCGAGUGAUGGCCGAUCUUAUUGGGCCUAAAGCGUCCGUAGCCGGCCACACAAGUCCAUCGGGAAAUCCGCCAGCCUAACUGGCGGGCGUCCGGUGGAAACUGUGUGGCUUGGGACCGGAAGACCCAACAGGUACGUCUUGGGUAGGAGUGAAAUCCCGUAAUCCUGGACGGACCACCGAUAGCGAAAGCAUGUUGGGAAGACGGAUCCGACGGUGAGGGACGAAAGCCAGGGUCUCGAACCGGAUUAGAUACCCUAGUAGUCC